AUGUUGUGUGUUACAAAAAAAAAAAAAAAAAACCCUACAAAGGAUCGGAUAACAUAUCGGGGUUAUUGUUAUAGGAGCCCUGAACGACACCGACUACGCUAAUGUUGCGGAUGAAAUUUGUGCUUUAAAUACAGGAUUGGGGAACCCCACGGUUAAUGAUGAAAACUUGCAUAACAACAUUAGAUCAUCUGAUCGAGAUGUGGUGUGGGGAGUUGCAGGUCUCCACACACUCGCGAAUUUGUCUAACCUCCUGGAUAGCAUACCCAAUACAUCAGGGUUUCUAAGAAAUAACGAGAACGGGAUCUGUGCUACGGCUACUCGACACAACGAUGGUAGAUCUGGGAUACGCAAACCACUCUCGGAUUUGUCUAUCCUGGUGGAUAAUAUACCCCACACAACACUGCGUGGCCAUGGAUCACACAAAAGACAGAGAUCCAUUCAGGCCGAGAUUCACACACCAAGGGGCCCGCAUACAACUUUACGAAAUACUGAUGCAAAGAGACAACGAAUGGUUCGGAGUGUGU